UCCCUGCUGGUCCAGUGGUUAGGACAUGGUGCUUUUACUGCUGUGAGCCAGGUUCAAUCCCUGGUCGGGAA
rnacentral:tRNA from 1 species